GAUGAACGCUGGCGGCGUGCCUAAUACAUGCAAGUCGAGCGAGCAGAUAAGGAGCUUGCUCCUUUGACGUUAGCGGCGGACGGGUGAGUAACACGUGGAUAACCUACCUAUAAGACUGGGAUAACUUCGGGAAACCGGAGCUAAUACCGGAUAACAUAUUGAACCGCAUGGUUCAAUAGUGAAAGGCGGCUUUGCUGUCACUUAUAGAUGGAUCCGCGCCGUAUUAGCUAGUUGGUAAGGUAACGGCUUACCAAGGCAACGAUACGUAGCCGACCUGAGAGGGUGAUCGGCCACACUGGAACUGAGACACGGUCCAGACUCCUACGGGAGGCAGCAGUAGGGAAUCUUCCGCAAUGGGCGAAAGCCUGACGGAGCAACGCCGCGUGAGUGAUGAAGGUCUUCGGAUCGUAAAACUCUGUUAUCAGGGAAGAACAAAUGUGUAAGUAACUGUGCACAUCUUGACGGUACCUGAUCAGAAAGCCACGGCUAACUACGUG
rnacentral:rRNA from 1 species